AUACCCGUUGAUCCUGCGGGAGAUUGCUGCUAGGAGAAUUCGAUUUAGCCAUGCAAGUCCAGGGGGCCCUUGAGGUCACCGGCGAAAUGCUCAGUAACACGUCGCUAACUUGCCCUUUGGUCAGGGAUAGCCACGGGAAACUGUGGGUAAACCCUGAUAGGAAAUACCAUCUGGAAUGCGGUAUUUCUUAAACUCGUGCCAAAGGAUAGGGCGGCGGCCGAUUAGGUAGUUGGUGGGGUAACGGCCCACCAAGCCGAUGAUCGGUACGGGCCAUGGAAGUGGUAGCCCGGAGAGGGACACUGAGAUACUGGUCCCAGCCCUACGGGGUGCAGCAGGCGCGAAACCUUUACAAUGCACGAAAGUGUGAUAAGGGGAUUCUCCGUGCUCAUGCAUUGCAUGGGCUUUUGCAAAGCGUAAAUAGCUUUGCGAAUAAGUGGUGGGUAAGACUGGUGCCAGCCGCCGCGGUAACACCAGCGCCACGAGUGGCAAUCAGCAUUAUUGGGCCUAAAGCGUCCGUAGCCGGAUGUGCACAUCCCUUGUGAAAUCUCAGGGCUUAACCUUGAGGCGUGCAGGGGACACGGCACGUCUAGGGAGUGGGAGAAGUCAGAAGUAUUCGAAGGGGACCGGUAAAAUGGUAUAAUCCUUCGAAGACUACCGAUGGCGAAGGCAUCUGACUAGAACAUGUCCGACGGUGAGGGACGAAAGCCAGGGGAGCGAACCGGAUUAGAUACCCGAGUAGUCCUGGCCGUAAACGCUGCGAGCUAGGCGUUGCACUUCUCUUGAAGAGGUGCAGGGUCGAAGCGAAGGCGAUAAGCUCGCCGCCUGGGGAGUACGGUCGCAAGGCUGAAACUUAAAGGAAUUGGCGGGGGCGCACCACAAGGGGUGCGGCGUGCGGUUUAAUUGAAUUCAACACCGAGAAUCUCACUAGGGGCGACGGCAGGAUGAUGGUCAGUCUGAAGGGCUUACCGGACGAGCCGAGAGGUAGUGCAUGGCCGCCGCCAGCUCGUGUCGUAAGAUGUCCAGCUAAGCCUGGUAACGAGCGAGACCUGUAUCACUAAUUGCUAGCGGCCAAGCUUGCUUGGGACCGAGCACAUUAGUGAGACUGCCUUCGUAAGAAGGAGGAAGGUGCAGGCUACGGUAGGUCUGUAUGCUCCGAAUCUCCUAGGCUACACGCGCGCAACAAUGGUCGGGACAAUGGGCUGCGACACCGAAAGGUGAAGCUAAUCCUCGAAACCCGAUCCAAGUCUAGAUCGAGGCUUGUAACUCAGCCUCGUGACAUCGGAAUCCCUAGUAAUCGGAAGUUAUCAGCUUCCGGUGAAUAUGUCCCUGCGCCUUGCACACACCGCCCGUCAAACCAACCGAGCAGGGUCUGGGUAAAGCACAGCUUUUUUGGUUGUGCUGAACUUAGGCUCAGUUAGGUGGGUUAAGUCGUCACAAGGUAUCCGUAGGGGAACCUGCGGAUGGAUCACCUCCUAU
rnacentral:rRNA from 1 species